CAGAGAGCCUUGAAAUUGAGAGCAGGCGAGAACCUACUGAAACCUUCUUUUUCGUCAGUGGCCUGCAGUCUCCUGGGACACAAGCCCUAUCGUAUGCCAGGGGACAAGAAUAGAACCAAAAAUUGAGAACACAGCCCUUAGCACGGGCUGAUGGCAUUGGUUGCCAACAGUUGCCCCAUUAGUAGGCUAUGGGGACAUGCUAGGGAACAUUUUCUCUGCGAGGCUUGUGUUUAAAAAUAUAUCUUGCUUCAGAGCUGGCCCUAGGCGUGGCUGGGGAGUAAGAGCCUCCUUUUUCCGUGCUGAGAAGGUGCCAGUCACUCUGUGAUUCACUGCCGAUCCCUUACCCCUCUGAGCCUGCCCCUUACGUGCUGUGUGACAGUCACCCAGACCUCAAGCUGGCCCGUGGCAAGUUAAUGUUUCAGACGAUUCCUGGAUGGAAGCCACGCUCCAGGAUUGCCCUCCCCCAUGAACUUGCUGGAUGCACGCAGGGCCAGGGCUGAAAGACGGUGGUCAAUACGAAGGGCUCUGACCUCUUCUCACCCUGUGGAUGUGUCCCUGGAGACAUUUCUCUCUCCAUUUCCUUAUUCCCAGACGGAGGCAACAGUUCCUGCCCACGUCCCAAGGAUGUUUAGAAGUCAUGGCUAACGGAAAUGACCGAGAAGCUCUUGGCAGAUGCCCAGUUCAGAAUCGCGUGCUGAAUGAUGGCCUCCCUCACCCACCCUCUGUACCGCAUUACCUACGUGCCCUGCUCUCACCGCUCUGCUGACCGCCCUGGGGCGCGAAGCCGGUCUGCCCAGAGGUCCUGGGGUCCGCUAGAGAAGGUCCCCUUUGCGGGAACCACUGCCAUCCCCGCAUGGCCGAACUCGUAUUCCGGGUCGGAAACAACAGGUGAUAGAUGAGCUGCAAAAGGCUGAAAGGCUGCCAGCAUCCGGCCGCGGGCACCCAGGGCUUGGCACCCCUUCCCCCAGGGGGGGUGGAAGUGAAUCAAUCGACAUGGUGGGGUCAAGUUUGAGUGUGCCUCGGCGAAACCCUGGGGACCUCCUUUCUUGAAAAACAACUGGGACAGGGUGACAGCUGUUCAAGGAUGCCAAAGAAAAGGGUCCCCCGGGGAAACCUCCCCAGGGAAGUCUCUGCCUGCAGGAGGCUGUGAGUGACACAGAAGACAGUCGGCAGGAGUGGGCACAGCCCGGCCCGGGUGAACUCUCUGGGUGGCCAGCGAUCGGAAGCACCGUGCACGUGUAAAAUCUGGCGGUAACCAGGACCGCGGUGGCAGCGGUGACAUUGACUAUCACAGACGGUGGGGCCUAUCGAACCGUAGACCGUUCUGAAGCUGUGGCCCCUGUAAGGACUUGGCUGCAAAAUGGCUACCAUAUUGGAAUCGUCACAGCUCUUUUGGCCUUUAUUUUUAUUUAUUUGAGAGAGAGAGAGAGAGAGCAGGAGAGGGGCAGAGAGAAAGAGAGAGAAUCCCAAGCAGGCUCCGCACUCAGCAUAGACCCCAACAUGAAGCUCAACCCCACGACGGUGAAAUGACCACCCAGAGGGACCACGUGACCCUCCCCGUUUGCACAUGGGCCGCCGCCUCUGAGGCAGGCUGGGAGAAUUCCUUGUGUGGAAAUCACCGGACUUCGAUCCCCAAGACCUGGAUUUGACUCUGGGAUCAACCACUUCCUAGCAGUGUGAACUGGGCCACAGCAGCUAACCUUUCUGAGACUCAGUGGUCCCAUCGAUAAACUGGAGCAAGCGAUGCCUCACCUCGGGGAGGUGAGGGGCCGUCAGAGGAAGCACGCAGCCCCAGGAGGGAUUGAUUCACAGAUGCGGCUUCGUGCCCCGCUUCCUCUCCACGGCUCCGGUGCCGAAAUCCGAGGUCACACGACAUCGCUGUCAGAACAAGUCCAUGCCGCCGCCGUCCUAUCCGAGAGGCCCGCGCCGGGGCGGCCUUGGCUCCUGAGCCUGCCCUGGUGCAGGGUUCUCGGUGGCACUAUUUUUGGCAGAUUUUUUUUUUUUUUUUUUUUUUAUCCUUGCUCUUUAUCACAAGCCUGUCGGGCAAAUGACAGAGGAAUUGCAAGCUUGAAUGGGCUUGUCUGACAGGCCAACUUUCAUCCCGGGUGCUGCUGCCUGACUUUGAAAAAGGAACUCUGGGCAGAAGAGAGUAAUUUCACACUGAUUCCUCGCCAUAAUUUGCUUUGGGGUUGAAAACGUCGCGUUUCAAUCAUCCCCGCUUCGCGCCGCAGGGGAGAAGAAGGGCCACGCGUGCAGGUGACGCGUUUGCCGCGGGCCCGCACCGAGACGACUGCCUGGCUCUGAAGCCAGAGCCCUGAGACACACAGGCAGGCACGCCAAGGAGCUCUCCACCAGCCACAAACGAGUGCCUUCGGAGGAGCCCAUGAGAAAUGGGUUCUGGCAGAAAGAGAGAGCCGCCUAGGACGUGGAGCCUCAUAUCGGACACCUCCAUCAUUCAAGAAUCCAUUAGAACGUCUUUCUCCCCCAGGCCCACGUUCCACGGAGGAGUUGGGUGGCUGUAGGCAAACCGCAAACGUAGGAGGGUCCAAGACAAGCGUGCUCAGCUCGGACAGGCGUGAGCUGGGAGGUACGGGAGGGAAGGGGAAAGUGGCGUCCGGGCCAAUGACAGCUGGCGAGGCUGUGCGUGAAGCAUCCGGGGACAAGGACAGGGGCUCAUGGGGAGGUCAGGGGAUGUGGUCGUUCCCAGGUCAGCAGCAGGAAGCGGUGACUUCCCCCGCGUCAUAAACCGUCCUGUCCUUCGCCACCUCUCGCCACGCUUACUCAAGAGGCCACACUGCCUGACACCUGCUGAUUUUUCCUGGGAUGGCUUCGAAAUGGUUCACGUCCUUAAUCUUGCUCCUCAACUGGAUUGUAAGUUCUCUGAGGUCAGGAACCCAUACCUAACCCUCUCUGCGUGCCCCGAAGCUCCUUCCUAGGGCUGAGCACAAACCAAGACUCAAUAACCGCCCGGAGUCUAUCGGAGACUUUCACACACCGCUGACAAAGAUUCAGCGGUACUGGAGGGUUUGAGCCGGGAUCAGCCAGCGUAUUUCUCAGCGAACGAAUCCAAGCUUGUUCUCAGUGGGACAUCAGGCUAUUGACGGUCUAUCCAGCCAGACUUUUGGGCCUUCUUGGCCACGCCUCACAUGCUGUAGACUCCAGCUGUGUGGAACCGAAUGCUCUCAGCGCCUCUGUGCCUUUGCACAGGCUGAUCCCUUGGCCUGGCUGCCCUUCCCUCAUUCUUCCAUCCGUGGACUUGGCGUUUCGGCUCCAGGUCAACCCGCCCCUUCCCGCAGGGCGGCCAGCAUCCCUUGGGCAGAGCUGGUGAGGCCUCCGCCUGUGGGUCCGGAGUACUUUCCGGAGGCCUGACGGGACAGGUGGCCUGGUGGCCCUGCCAUCCGGUUAAUGCUGUCUGCCUGCCCGAUCUGCCCCCUUCGUCAUCUCUCAACUUUGGCUCUCGGCGCAGCGCCUGGCACUUGGUAAAGGUUUAUCGAAUGAAUGUGUCUCCCACAUUUGGCCUAUCAUGGCGACGGCAGUCAGGGCCCAGCAGGUCAUGUGGGGACACGGCAAAAGACGUGAGACCAAACAAACGCUUCGGAGGGAAGCAAGGCCCUGGGGCCCUCCCGAUAAGCUGGGGCACCUGGGACCAACCCCCAGCUGUGAGGUUGGGGGAAGUGACACUUGCUUUCCGGAGCCCCAGCCUCAUCUCGGGACCUCACUCCACCUUGUGGGGUUUCCAAAACGUCAUGCAACCUUCUCAUGGCCUUUAGUGACACGGCCGGACCGGGCGAUUAUUCCUGGUCUCCAGCGAUGGGUGUGGGGUGUGACCAGGCAGCAGCAGUGUGUCGGGCGGAGAGGGUGGUGUUGCCCCUGGAUGCGGGGGAGGUGGCGAAGAUCGUGGACUCCAGCCUGGCCUCACGCCCAGCCCCCACCCCUGCCCCGCCGUGCGACACGGUGGGAAGGCCUCAGCUUCCCCGCGCAUAAAGGGUGAAGCAACCCCCACGGGGUCGUUCAGAAAGUCGGGCAAACGGACGCGUGUGAGCAUCGAGGGGGAUGCCCGGCACGUGACGAUGGCUCCCGAAAAGCCAGCCCCCGUCAUUUGGAACCGGAAGAUGAGUGUCACAUCUGGCUUUCUCCACUUGCAGGCUGUGGGACCUGAGUGGGUCAAGGUGUCUUACCUCUCCACUCACAUUCUCUGGUUCCUGAGAGGAGGGCGGGACUGCCGCCCUCACUGGCUGUCUUGAGACGCAAGGAGAUAGUGGGAGGGAAUGUGCUUUGCAAGCCACGCGUUUUCCUGGGGUAGCUGUGAGUUGCCUGUGCGAAGGCAUUGAGAGGCGAGGAGACCUUGGAGAUCCUGCCACCUGAGAGCUACCCCUUAAUGGAGACAAUGACCGUCUAGUAAACAAACUUGUAAUUUCUGGAAAGCGCAUGCUUUGACAGCCACCUGGGGUUGGGGGGGGGGGGGGAGGUCUAUUAGCGACCCGUAGGCAAAACUGUGACUCUCCCAAUGCAAAGUUCGAGUCUGAGGGUCCACUUGGCUGAGCCACGGUUCCCAGACAUGUAGUCAAACAUUAUUCUGGACGUGUCUGUGAGGGUGUAUCUGGAUGAAAUUAACAUUUAAAUCAUUGGACUCUGGUCCAAUGUCCUCUAUAAUGUGGGUGGGCCUCAUCUAAUCAGUUGAAGGCCAGAACUGAACAAAAACCUGACCCCCACCCCCACCCCACACACACACCCAUCCCCAUGCAAGAGGUAAUUUUGCCAGCAGACUGUCUCUGGACCUGAACUGUAGCAUUGACUCUUCCCUGGGUCUCUAGCCGGCCAGCCUACUCAGCAGACUUUGGACUUGCCAGCCUCCAUAAUCACCAUAAUUGUGCUAAUUACCUAAAAUCUCUCUCUCUCUCUCUGUCUCUCUUACACACACACACACACACACACACACACACACACACACACUGUUGGUUCUGUUUCUUUGAAGAACCCUAAUAUACCCAUAAACAUUUGGAGUCCUCAGAUAGCUUUAAACUAUAAACUCUAACAGCUCCAGUGAACACAGAUUUCCCAGGGAGGCCAGUUUCAAACACUAGCCGAUCCUAAGCAUGACUUUGUCCUGCCUCGCCUGUUCCCUUCCAUGGAAACCACACAUGCCCCCUCCUUCUGCUCCCUGACCGCCCCCGGUGCUUACCCAGGAGACCCUGCAUGGUGUCCCGUGCUCUCUCAAGGGAACCGUGACUAUAAUAAAAUCUUUAAAAUUUCUCA